rnacentral:rRNA from 2 species
AGACCCGAAACCCGGUGAUCUAGCCAUGGGCAGGUUGAAGGUUGGGUAACACUAACUGGAGGACCGAACCGACUAAUGUUGAAAAAUUAGCGGAUGACCUGUGGCUGGGGGUGAAAGGCCAAUCAAACCGGGAGAUAGCUGGUUCUCCCCGAAAGCUAUUUAGGUAGCGCCUCGUGAAUUCAUCUCCGGGGGUAGAGCACUGUUUCGGCUAGGGGGCCAUCCCGGCUUACCAACCCGAUGCAAACUGCGAAUACCGGAGAAUGUUAUCACGGGAGACACACGGCGGGUGCUAACGUCCGUCGUGAAGAGGGAAACAACCCAGACCGCCAGCUAAGGUCCCAAAGUCAUGGUUAAGUGGGAAACGAUGUGGGAAGGCCCAGACAGCCAGGAUGUUGGCUUAGAAGCAGCCAUCAUUUAAAGAAAGCGUAAUAGCUCACUGGUCGAGUCGGCCUGCGCGGAAGAUGU